CACGCUAAGUACUCGCCCAACAAUUGAGUCUGACUUCUAUUAAGGCCUUGUUGUUUAGUUGAGAAGCUCAAAAGUUUUUCUUAUUUACUGUAGUACUUUUUUUUAAUUAUUAUUCAACUACAGACUAACUAUGCUCGUAUAAAAUUCAUUCACAAAUUACAGACAAACUAUAUAAUUAAUUAUUUUUUUUAUCUAUAUUCAAUGUUUAAUGCAUAUGACUCAAGAUUCGAUGGAAUGAACAAUCUUAAAAAAAAAAAAAAGGUUUUUGGGUGAAAUAUAAACCAGGCCUAAGUUCCCAGAUGCCUUUGCACCACAUGAUCAUGAUGAUAUUGCGUGCGUGCUUCAUCAACUUGCGAUGCGGUUAUGAAUCAUUGAGAGAGAGACACCGAUCGAUGGUUACAAGCAUGAAGGAUUGUGAUAUUCUACCGUACCAUGUCCAUCGCCUUGCCUCGAGUUUGUACCGCGCGUGCGUACGCACGUACGUGCACACGCAUCCAUCAACCAUAUCAUCAAGCAACAUAUAUAAAUAUAUAAAUAUAUUAAUUAGCACGUAAUUAAGUAGUACACCUUGCUCUGCUUACUCUUGACAAUAUCGCACGCAGAGAAAAUCUCUCUCUCUCUCACACACACACAAGUACGUACGUACGUACUCUGUGUUUGUAAAACUUGUUUGCACUUUGGGGAUGGAUCUACAACUCGUCCAACAUCAAAGGAAAUAAAAGGGUGCAAAUCACUUAAUUUGCUGGUAGAGUAACUCACAUUCAACAAACCUGGAGUAUAUAUAAAUAUAUAUAAAAGCAGUGGAAUAUACACUAUAUUUCAAUUUCCAACCAAUAAUUUGCUCAACUAACAAUAUCCAUCCCGAUUCUGAUUCUACGUUGACUUUUAUAGCAUAUAUCGUACGGUACCAUGCAUGCAUGCAGUAGGUGGUUGAGAUCGAGAGUUCGUUAGACAGCUGUGGUGCACGUGUGCACGAAUGCACAACGAGGUUUCCUAGCUAUCCCAUCUAUGUUUAUUAUUAUUAGCUCGCUUUUAUAGUAUCUUUUGUUGAUUUGUUCACAUAUAUACGUAUAUAUACUCCUACC
rnacentral:lncRNA from 1 species